AUGGAGACCAACCCAGCCCUUGUGGGGAUGAGGAAUAUCAUCACAGUUAGCUUCAACUAUCUGCCUCAUGACCUCAAGCGUUGCAUGAUGUAUGUUAGCAUUUUCCCAGAGGAUUAUCAGAUCAGCAAAGACAGGCUCUUGAGAAGAUGGAUUGCUGAAGGAUUGAUACCUGAGAAGCGGGGGCUUACUUUGAUGGAGACUGCAGAGGCCUACUUCAAUGAGCUAGUGAAUAGGAGUAUGAUUGACCAAGCCGGCUGUAUAGUCACCUACUAUAAUAUAGUGGAUUUGUGUCCGGUGCACGACAUGAUGCUUGAGGUCAUGGUACCUAAAUCAAUAGAGGCUAACUUCGUUAGCUUGGUAGGCAUUCAGUAUGAAGGAAUGUCAUAUGAUAUCGUUCGCCACCUCUCCAUCCAUGAUGCAAAGAAGGGGAGAAAUUACUCCCCAACAGAGAAAGGCACAAUGGGGAGUGGAAUGGUGAAUGUUAUCAAGAGGAUGAACACGAAGCACGUACGGUCAUUGACCACAUUUCAUUCCGAAGAAGACAACUUGCUGCUCGAUCAACUAGGAAAGUUCAAACUGCUGAGGGUACUUGAUCUGGAAGACUGCAAGGACCUAAACAAGAAGCAUUUGAGGUACAUUUGCAAGAUGUACCUUCUUAAGUUCUUGAGCUUGAGAGGUACAGAUGUCAGUGUCAUGCCUCCAGAAAUCUGCGACCUAGAGCAUUUGCAAACACUUGAUGUCGAUGAUACUCUCCUCGAGACGCUUCCAAACAGUGUGAUAAAGCUUACAAAACUUGAGAGGCUGAUGUUCUCCAAUAGGAAAAAUUGGACUGCCCUAUGGACAUUGCCCAAAGGGAUCUCAAAAAUGAAGGCAUUGCGUGAGGUGAGUAGAGCAAUCAUUAGAAAUGUUGAGGUUGCCAUAGAGAUCGGUGAUCUACAACAAUUGGAACGGAUAUUUGUCUAUCUCGAUGGAAGGUCCGAGCAGGAUAGUGAUAUUAGACGAGAGUUUAAAUGCUCACUAAGUAAGACAUCAUCCCUUCGGUGGCUCGAUGUGGGAGAGUUGAAUGAUGUCUAUAGAAAUGACAUGGACUAUCUCAUGGACCUCGACACGCCACCACAGCUUUUGCGGUACCUUAGGUUUGCUGGAUAUAUUUCUCAGAUUCCAGACUGGGUCGGUUCACUCGCCUUUCUCACCGAGUUCACCAUUUCAUGCGCAGAACUUGUAGGCGACCAAUCAUUUGAAGUCCUUUGUAAGGCUCCCAUCCUGAAUAGCAUCUUGCUUCAGGUGCAUUUUUACAUUGAUGAAGAUUUGGUUGCACGGAGCGCCCACAUGUUUCGUAUGCUCAAGAAUAUGAGAGUGAUAAAUGCUGCUAAAACUCCCAAAGUUUUUAGUUUUGAGGAAGACUCCAUGACAAAGCUCGAGAUACUUGAAUUGGACUUCAGAGGUUGGCAUAAGAGCAUUGUUGGCAUCCAACACAUGACGAACCUUAAACAGGUGCACCUCAGCGGCUACGGUAAUAACAUUUCUUUGAUCGAUGCAGCCAAUGAGCUAAAAGCUGAGAGUGAUAGACGCGGCAGGUCCAAUCUGUUUCCAUUCACAGUUGUAGUGAGAUACGGUUGA
rnacentral:rRNA from 1 species